rnacentral:tRNA from 1 species
GGGUCGUUAGCUCAGUCGGUAGAGCAGCUGGCUUUUAACCAGUUGGUCGUAGGUUCAACUCCUACACGACCCACCA